ACAGCUCCUGCCUUUCUUUUUCCGUUUCCCAGUCGGGCAAGGCUUUUCUCCUCCUCCCCUUGCUGCUUUUGUUUAUGACUGGAUCUUGCUCGUGUCUCCCUGAGCCGGCGAACGGCGCUCUGGCUUCUCCGUUGUUUCUGUGUGAGCAGGCUGCUCCCAGGCUCCCCACCACGGGGCGUCAGUCUGCAGUAUUUCCAGCUCUCAGGGACCGGGACGAGCGCCUUUUCUUCAGGCUCGGAGAGACGGGACUGGCACACACAGACUCAUCACACUGCUGGGUGACAAGCACAGGGACAUUGGGCCCAUUAUAUUCUAUCACUAGAGAAUAAGGUCUGUGAUAUCGCUGAAGACUACUGCCAAGGAAAAAAGAAGCUGAAACAGCAGAAGAGUGGAACUGAAGAACACUGUCAUAUUCUACAUCGCUGUGUUUCUCCGGAGCAAUUGUGGAAGGAGCAGAAGGUAUUUCAUUUGAUUCUUCUUACUUGUAAGCCUGGGACACAGCAACAAGACAAAGGGAAAUUAUUCUGAUACAAUGUGCAUUAUAUCUAAUUACAUUAAUUAUGCUAAUUUCCGGGAGCUUUAAGUAAUAAGGAUAAAAGCUAAGAAUGAUCUAUAAAACAAUAAAGCAGGACACAUUUUCAUCCUAGGUUGGGUUAAACAUAAGUAUUUUCAUUUUCCUUAAGUAACUGUUGCUGUCACUAGCUCUCCAAGUAGUUUUUAGACACUAAAUGCUUGACAAAGCUUGAAGCAUUCAACAUGCCAAAAGCUUCCUUUUCAGCAAGACUCAGAUGCAAUCUCCUAUGGUUCAUUUAUUCACAUGGCACCAACCAAUACUUAUUCAUGUAUUUUCAGUCAUUUGCAUUUGUGUUAUUUGUGUACAGCAUAUUCUAAUUAAUACUGGGGCUGUGAAAAUAUUUGUGACUUCAUUUAUAUGCAUUUAAAAAUGCAGGUGUAUAUGCUCUGUGUGUACCUCUUCUAAGGUUUUCUGUAUGUAUUUAUAUAGCAUCACAAAUGUAUUCUGUGCUUUACUAGCCAUAACCACAAACAGUAGUAUAGUUAUACAUUAGCAGUGAAAAUAAAAAUGUGUUUGCUAGUUUUAGUACACAGAUGGCA